UACGUAGGGGGCAAGCGUUGUCCGGAAUCAUUGGGCGUAAAGAGCGUGUAGGCGGCCCGAUAAGUCCGCUGUGAAAGUCCAAGGGCUCAACCCUGGGAUGCCGGUGGAUACUGUCGGGCUCGAGUCCGGAAGAGGAGUGUGGAAUUCCGUGGUGUAGCGGUGAAAUGCGCAGAUAUCAGGAAGAACACCCGUGGCGAAGGCGGUUCUCUGGGACGGUACUGACGCUGAGACGCGAAAGCGUGGGGAGCGAACCGG
rnacentral:rRNA from 1 species